rnacentral:lncRNA from 1 species
AUUUUAAUCAAACUACAUGUACGAUUCAUAUUAUGAAAGUUUUAACUAUGUAACAGAUGUACCAGUCAAACAGUACAUUGUAUCAAUACUAAUCUAGGUUAAAUGUAUAAUAGUAUAUGAAUCAUAUAUUGAAUACACAUAUACAUGUUUACCAACAGUAAGAAUACGCCGUCUAAAUCUCCUCUGCUGAUUAAGGACAACAGGGAAGAAACAAUAUGUACUUUAGACAACUCAUUUCUACGAAAAUAACUAUUUAUAAAAUGGUCUCUUUUACCAGUUUAUAAUCAAGAUUUUCAUCAGGGGUCGUCUUCGAAAAAUGUUGGAUAAUAUUGUGUCUAUGAGUAGAAGAGAAUACCCCCCUCCCCGAAAUAAACCAACAACAACAAAUAAACCAACCCCAACAACAAACAACAAACAAAAUAAAAAAAAACCAAC